rnacentral:snRNA from 1 species
AUCGCUUCUCGGCUCACUGAGUUACGAUCAGGCGUAGUAUCUGUUCUUUGCAGUGUAAUUUCUGCAACGGUCCCUAAUUUGGGACCAAUGAAAUUACCUGUAUUUUUCCAACCAGGAAGGGUGCUGUGAGCUUGCUCAACCCCGUCCACGGGUCGGCCUCGAAUUGCAUUACCUCAAGGAUUAGUCCACUAAUG